UACGGGGGGUGCAAGCGUUAUCCGGAUUUACUGGGUUUAAAGGGUGCGUAGGUGGGUUGGUAAGUCAGUGGUGAAAUACUUUCGCUUAACGAAGGAGCUGCCAUUGAUACUACCAGUCUUGAAUACAGUGGAGGUAGGCGGAAUGCGUCAUGUAGCGGUGAAAUGCUUAGAUAUGACGCAGAACACCAAUUGCGAAGGCAGCUUGCUACACUGUUAUUGACACUGAGGCACGAAAGCGUGGGGAUCAAACAGG
rnacentral:rRNA from 1 species